ensembl:lncRNA ZNF503-AS1 ZNF503 antisense RNA 1
GCGGUCACACACGAGGGUGGGUUUCAGCUCCCACUUGUUUUUUUGGUCAGGUUCCCCAAGAAACAGACUCGGGAUUUGCAUGCAGGAGUCUUAUUGGGGAACGCUUUCAGGAACUACCACCCCGUAUGGGAGCGAGAGAAGCAGGACUGUGCAGAAGGAGAAGUUGAACAACUCCUGGAAAGCUCUGAAGCUGGGAUCAUCCUUCCAGAAUGUCUUGGAUUGAGACAAGGGCCUUAUCUUGUACAAGAUUCAUGUGUUGGUGAGCUCAUUUCCACCAGAACUCAGCCCAGGCUGCUGUGGGAUGGAAUCACCUGCACCCGGAUGUUCUUUCUGGGCUGUACUUUAAUCAGCAUUUAAUGACCCAGUCGAAAAUUCAUUGUUUGGACCCAAGCACUGGUGGGAAAGGCAGGAGGGGAGGCCUGCCUUCCUUCCUCCCUCCCGAGCCCUACAGCAGGCCAUGGAGUGGUGAGCGAGUUCGUACAGUGCCAACCACAUUCCCAGAAACUUCCAGCAGAGGUUAAUCCUGCUCCUCUCAGGAAAAAGUGAUUCAGCUCCGGUCCACCCUGGGUGCAGCGGUCCUUCUGCCAAGAUGCCUUCAUAUCAUACAGCUAUUAUUUUCGGGAGGAUUCCAAGUGAGGGCAGUCAGGGUGGGCUUGGCCCAUUCUCUAGACUUUGGAAGGUAAUGUUCUAUAGAGGCCUGUUCUGAAGCUUUACCAGGUCAAACCGGAGAAGAACCCAACAAGUAACUCAUCCCAGCCUAACUAUUCUUCAAGGGCAAUCAACCUACAGCAUCCAAGCACAGAGAAAUCAAAUCCAUGGAGAAUCUUCAAAUUAGGCUCAGAAUCCAUUUGGGUCAAUGAAUUUACUGUUAUUAAGAUCUUAGUUGUGUUCAACCAUGAUUUGACAUACCUUAGAGUGAGAAGAUAUUCUUCCUGGCCUCAGACUAGUUGAAGGUAGAGAGAGAGACAGGCCCUUGGGUGUGGGGAGACCUCUCCUGGGAUAAUACACACAAAAAACCAAGAGCUGCUCACUGUGGUGCAGGAGACAGCAGGGCCUGAAGCCAGAGGCUCUGUGUCCUUGAAUACAAUGUUUUACUCCUCUGACCCCUGUUACUGUGAUUUGGAGAGGCAGACAAUAUAGGAUGGGCUUUGCAGGCAGGGAGGUCCAGUUAUAAUCCCAGCUCUUACUAAGUUGGGUAAGACUCACUCUGAGACUUAGUUUCUUCUGUCAUCUCUCAAUAGAAUCAUAAAGGUACU